AGCAUUUAAUCAAUUAGCCAAUGAAAAUGAAGGAACAGGAUGAACAACAGCUUGCACCUGUAAUAGUAAUUACAUUUUUCCUCUCUUCGCUAGCACUCAGCGUGGGUUGUUUAAAUAUACGUGUCUAAACAGAAGUUCUAUUCUGUGUCUUCUACGUUUUGUUCUUCAACAGUACAGUAAGAGUAAAACGAUGGCUGACAAACCAGAUAUCGCGGAGAUCUCUCAGUUUGACAAGACCAAGCUGAAGAAGACUGAAACAAAAGAGAAGAACACUCUUCCAACUAAAGAGACUAUUGAACAGGAGAAACAGUGUGAGGCAUAAACUCCCUUCACCAAGAGCAAGAUGUGGAGAACCGUGAGAUGGCAAGUCACCUGGAGCAGAUGAUGUCUUCCAACCACCAGUCACUAUAGCCCUAGGCUGGAGUGGAACAUUUGCCCUCAUAGUUUUAACUUGUGUAUCAGACCAUCCUGAAAGAUGACUGUCUUCAUGUUGAUGAUCACUGUAGUCCGAUCAUGUGUCACUGAAGAGGCAGUCAGCUUUGCACUGAGGCUGUCUAACUCUGUUCUUUUGUAAAUCCGUUGGAAUGAAGACUUCUAUUUGCCCUCUUUCUUCGGUGAAAUAAACCUCUCAAAUGAAGUAGUGUGUGUUGGGGAUUUUUAGUUAACUAUGGGCUUCUAAUAUUUGAUUGUAGGCUAAUUUUAAAUUUAACAUUGAUUUAUCUGCCUUGGCUUUUGGUGAGCUUCGCUGCUUUCAGUUGGGGAGCAAAAAUCGAGCUGUCAAGCCUAGAAUGUUCCACUUUGUGACACUUUCAGUGUUUGCUUCAAAUGAUUUUAUUUCGGUCCAAGUUGACUUAAAUUUAAGUUCUGCACUUUAAGUAUUUAAAACAAAAUGGUUUUAGUUUAGCUGUGAUGACUUAAAUGGUAAACCAACACACAAAGAAAUACAACUGUUGCAUAUCAGAAAGUUCCUAAUGGAAGGCAAUUUUAGCGACAACAUUUCUCGAGCAGCUUCCUUUUGUUAAAUGUAUUAUAGGUUACACAUGAUUCUGUUUUGCCUGAUCAUGAGACCAAGCAAGUUUACCAAACAAGUCAGGUUGCUUUCAGUUAGUCUGGGUUAUUGUCAGUUGAUUUGGUUCAAAAGUCAGACUAACUGAAAGAAACCUGGUUUAUUGGGUAAACUCUUAUUUUUAUAAGUGAAACCAUCCCCUGAUUAUUCAAGUCUGGUAAUACACAUUAACUGAAAUACUUCCUUGAAUUUCAACACAAAUCUUGAGUCCAAAAGCUAGCUAGGUGUCUGUCUGUAUUUACGUAAAUACAUUCUUCAGAUAUUUUAGGAUGUGCCACGCCAUUUACUGCUGUAAGUUGUGCUGACACACCAGUACAGCCCCUGGCCUGCAUCACUGAGGUCUGUGACGGACACUAAAAAUAAAUAAUGAAUUGUCAAGCAGUUCGUUUUCUAGAAUACAAAAGAGAGCAUCCAAUGAAUAAUGUUGGUUAUUCUCUUGUCUUAUACACCAACAUUUGUUUUUCUGGUAAGAACUAUAUUGAUUUAUAUUGUUUUUACUAAGCUACAGUGAUAAUAUUGCACAUCUUCUCUGGCAUAUCAUCUCCUAAUUUAGAUUUUUUUUUAUCUCAU
ensembl:lncRNA